rnacentral:antisense_RNA from 1 species
GUGGGAGCGAGCCUGCUCGCGAAGGCGUCGUGUCAGUCAGCCUCUACUUAACUGACCCACCGCUUCGCGAGCAGGCUCGCUCCCAC